AUGACCGUUGCCGACCUCUGCCCAACGGUCACUAGGAUGCAGCACCGGUUCAAACCGUGGUGGGGUAGGUGGCUUUCGAAGGCAGCCAGGGAGAUCCUCAUUAACUCCUCGCUGUCCAGCCUCCUAUGGUUCCUCAUGAGCUUCUAUAGCCUUCACUUGCCCCUGCAUCAGGAGAUUGCCAAAUACCAGUCUCGGUUCUUCUGGGCAGACCAGGGUGGCCUUGGGAUCAUGUCCUCCAGGCGCAUGAAUAUUGCUCUCCUGACGCGCUGGCUUUGGAGGAUCACCAAUGGGGAGGGGGGACUCUGGUUAACCCUCAUCCGAAAUAAAUACCUCCGCGGUAGUGAUUCAGCUCCUUCCUGUCCUCCGAGUUGGUACCUCCAUCUCAGUGGGCUUUGGAUCCGCAACGUUGUUCUGGUUGGACCGGUGGUUGGGGACUCCCCCCUUGCCGCUCGUUUCUCGAAGUUAUUCUCCAUCGCGGUUGACCCCCGGGUCUCCAUCGAGAUGACCCUUAUUGACUUAGGGCGGCUCGCCUUCCGACGACACUUCGGCCCUCUCGAGGUGGCCGCAUGGGAUACCCUCCUCCAGGCCAUCGCUCUCCAACCGUUAGACAUGGAUGGCGUGCCUGACCCCGUGUCGUGGCUUCUGGAGCCCCUGGAACGUUUUUCCACGAACCUGAUUUGGGACAUCCACCUUCCACUGAAUAUCCGGAUCUUCUUGUGCAAGUGGAUUCGUGGCCGCCUCCCUUUUGGGGUUGAGGUCCUCAAGCGCAAUGGCCCGGGAGAUGGGAUGUGUCCCCUGUGUGGAACGGCGGAGGACGUGAACCACAUUUUCUUCUCUUGCGUUACGGCCCAAUUCCUGUGGACGUGCUUCCGCGAUACGGUCGGUGGUCGUUGGUGUAACACCAACUUCCCGGACUUGCUAGCGGAAAUUAACGCUUCCGCCCCCCGCCACCGCCACAUUAGGUGGUUGUGCGUUGGGGUGCUCGCAUGGACGCUUUGGACCAUCCGCAAUAAACUUGUCAUACAAAGAACACCUCUUCGACGUGCAACUGACAUGAUCUUCAAACUGUGUGGUUACUUGCAGCUCUGGCGGCCGCUUAGCCUCCCCCAGAAUCGAGACGCCAUCGACACCCUCAUCGCCGACCUUCAUGCGAUGGCCUUCCGAGUGGCGCCACCUCUUCCGCCCCCACCCCCGGAGCCCGACUAG
rnacentral:rRNA from 1 species